rnacentral:lncRNA from 10 species
CCUGAUGGCUCCAAGGGCAGGGUCCCACAGAGUAAUCAAGUUACAGAAUGACUGCACUAAGAAGGUGAUGAGGAAGAGAAAUAGGAAGAAGAAGGGGAAGAAGAUGAGGAAGCAGAGAAGGAGCUACCGCUGCUGCUACUACUGCAGGGGCAUUUUCACCUUCACACCACCGACUCUUCAUUUGUCAUCAGCAAGCUGGGGACAAUUACUCAGAAGACAAUGGCAGCAGCGCCACAGCACCGUGGGUUUAAUGCUAUUUCUGUCUCUAUAAAAUCUUCAAUAAUUUGUUUACGACUUCCAAAAUUCAACAAUAGUGUGCAAAUGCAAUUCUACUUAUGUUAAUGUGUACCUCCUUUUCUCAUAUCAGAUUCUGAAUAAAAAUUAGGCAAGUACUCUGUUUUGAAAAUAUAUAAGAUGUGAACUUCCUGGGGGGCUGGGGGGACCUCCAAAUGCACUAUCCUAUCAACCACAUUUUUUUUAACUUAAUAACUUAAGUGAACUGUUAGUGAAAUUACAACCUGCUUGUGACACAGUAAAUUUACAACAAAAUUCAUUCCAUAAAUUAUUCAAUUCCAAGACUGCAGUCAAGGAGAGAAAUAUCACCAGGAGCAGGUGAUUAGCAUGUGAAAGGAAAAACCCAUCUCCCUGCAGAAACAAUCACUGUCAAAGCUUCCUAUUGGAGUUUUGUAAAAAUUACUGUUAAGAACACACAUUUAAGGCUUUGUAGUUCCUAUAAAAGGGCUAAGUAUUUGAUUUACAUUAGAUUCGUUUGUUCUUUCUUCAACUGUCUCUUUCUCCUACAAACCAUAACUGCCUCAAUAAAUGCUUGCUCAAUCAAGUGUGCAUUAAAACAAAAGAAUUUAACUUCAAUAAAAGUGAUGAAUCAGGGCCAG